ACGUGGGGACGACCUCACAUACUCACUUAGACCAUGGGACGACCCAG
rnacentral:ncRNA from 1 species